GUAUAUGGAGGUUUGUGGGCACAUCCUUCUAAAAGCUCUCAAGUUUAGUGGAUACUCUCAAGAAUAAUUCUUUAGGACAUGAGUAGGUUAUCUUAGGUUAAACAUGCAUCAUUCUCUGGUGGUCCUUCUUCUCCCUUAUCUCUUUUAUUUCUAGUUAUUUUCUUUCCUUUGAUUUUCCAAUGCUUAUUUACUAGCUUGUUUUACAAAAUAUUUUCAAACUGUUAUUUGCAAAUGAUUUUGUUUUAAACUAGAGUUUUUCAAACCUACACACUUCACCCUCCUCUUGGGUAUGGAGUCACAUAUCAAAUAUAAUCUUCUCAUGAGGUAGUAUAAUAUAAUGGACUUGUGAUCAAAUUUAUAUAUCAUGAUACAUCAACUUCUAAACAUUGGAUUGUCUGUAGUCAUCCCCUUCAUGCAUUCACUCAUUCAUAGAAUUAAUGAUUGUUCAAUCAAGAUUUGAUGAUCCAAAAGAAUAUAUACUUUAAUUUAUAUUAUAAUUUAAAAUUUACAACUUAAAUCAGAAUCGUCUGAUCUUGAUUGAACGAUCACUAAUACCUUAAAUGUUUAAAUGUGUGAACCAUGAUUGCAGGGAAUCUACAUCUCAAAUACAAAAAACACUAUUACAAAAAACACAUUUCGUAACAAUGUAUAACUAGAACCACUUAACCAACCGGAGUAAUAUAUAUUCAUUAGGCGCCUUUUGUUUUUUGUAUUUAUAAAUUUCAUAUAACCAUUGUUCAUAAAAACAACUAAUGUG
rnacentral:lncRNA from 1 species